rnacentral:tRNA from 1 species
AGGGGCAUAGCUCAGUUGGUAGAGCGACGGUCUCCAAAACCGUAGGCCGCGGGUUCGAGUCCUGCUGCCCCUGCCA